UGCCCAGCAACUCUUAUCCCUACCUCCUCGUGGUACCGGCCGGAAACUAUGAGCAAUCUGAGGGAAGAUCGGUUAGUUACCCGGUGGGAACUUUGGUCAUAAGGCUGACAGGGAAGG
rnacentral:ribozyme from 1 species